AAUGAACGUUGGCGGCGUGGAUUAGGCAUGCAAGUCGCGCGAGAACCAGCAAUGGGGACAGCGGCGAAAGGGACAGUAAUGUGUAGAUUAUCUGCCCUCGGGUCCGGGAUAGCUGCGGGAAACUGCAGGUAAUACCGGAUAACAUCUCCGGAUCAAAGGUGUGAUUCCGCCCGAGGAUGAGUCUACAUCCUAUUAGCUAGUUGGUAGGGUAAUGGCCUACCAAGGCUUUGAUGGGUAGCAGGUGUGAGAGCACGACCUGCGUCAUUGGGACUGAGACACUGCCCAGACACCUACGGGUGGCUGCAGUCGAGAAUCUUCGGCAAUGGGCGCAAGCCUGACCGAGCGACGCCGCGUGUGGGAUGAAGGCCUUCGGGUUGUAAACCACUGUCAGAGGGGAUGAAAUGCGGGUGGGUUCUCCCAUUCGUUUGACAUAGCCUCAGAGGAAGGACGGGCUAAGUUCGUGCCAGCAGCCGCCGUAA
rnacentral:rRNA from 1 species